CGGUUUCAAUCUGCUGGGGGCAGAUGAAGUGAAUAUGGGUGUCGAUCGCACCGGCGGUGAGGAUAUGGCCCUCGCCGGCAAUUGCUUCGGUGCCAGGGCCGAUCACGAUAUCGAUGUUGUUGCUGAUAUCAGGAUUACCCGCCUUGCCGAUGGCGCAGAUGCGGCCAUCUCUGAUGCCAAUAUCCGCCUUCACAAUGCCCCACCAAUCAAGGAUCAGCGCAUUGGUAAUCACCGUGUCUACGGCGCCGGCGGCGCGGCUGCUUUGGCCUUGACCCAUGCCAUCG
rnacentral:sRNA from 1 species